CGCGGCCUAUCAGCUUGUUGGUGGGGUAACGGCCUACCAAGGCUUCGACGGGUAGCCGGCCUGAGAGGGCGACCGGCCACACUGGGACUGAGACACGGCCCAGACUCCUACGGGAGGCAGCAGUGGGGAAUAUUGCACAAUGGGCGAAAGCCUGAUGCAGCGACGCCGCGUGAGGGAUGACGGCCUUCGGGUUGUAAACCUCUUUCAGCAGGGACGAAGCGAAAGUGACGGUACCUGCAGAAGAAGCACCGGCCAACUACGUGCCAGCAGCCGCGGUAAUACGUAGGGUGCAAGCGUUGUCCGGAAUUAUUGGGCGUAAAGAGCUCGUAGGCGGCUUGUCGCGUCGGCUGUGAAAACCUGGGGCUCAACUCCGGGCCUGCAGCCGAUACGGGCAAGCUAGAGUUCGGUAGGGGAGACUGGAAUUCCUGGUGUAGCGGUGAAAUGCGCAGAUAUCAGGAGGAACACCGGUGGCGAAGGCGGGUCUCUGGGCCGAAAUUGACGCUGAGGAGCGAAAGCGUGGGGAGCGAACAGGAUUAGAUACCCUGGUAGUCCACGCCGUAAACGUUGGGCGCUAGGUGUGGGCUCCAUUCCACGGAGUCUGUGCCGCAGCUAACGCAUUAAGCGCCCCGCCUGGGGAGUACGG
rnacentral:rRNA from 1 species